GGAAGGGGUUCCUUCGGAACGCGAGUGAUGUCGCGGGUGGAAGCUAGUGAACUAUAAAGAUUUAGUUCAAGACGUCUCCUUCAGAUUAACGGCGCCCACGGUGGAGAUUAGUCAGCUGUGGAGGAUAUAUUAUAGUGCACAUUCAAGCAUUUGCAAGACACUUAAAAAACAUAACAGAAAAAAAAUUGCCACGUUGGAAUGUAGAAAUCUCUUUUUUUAAGUUGUUUAGGAAUGCUUUCGGGUAAAAAUAUGGGCGACUACUAAAUCGUAUUGCUGGUUUCUAGACCAAUGUUAAUAAAUAUAAAAUUUUAAA